CCCGACUGAGUACAAGGGAAAUCCACCCCAACUCACUCACAGUCGUCCUGCGUUAAAGCUGCACUCACACUCUCUAAUAGGCUGGUUGAGACUAGAAGCAUUCGUUUAAAUCUGGCCUUGUCCCCUGGCAACAAAAACCAUGCAUGGUUCUGAAAAGAGGACAUGAGCCUGGGAAACCCUUUUAGGAAAACAGACGGGAGCUCAAAGCGCAGCGGGAACGGAAUGUCCAAAAGGGAAGAAUGAUACCCCGGCCAUAACCGGAUGCAACGUGCUGCUCCUGCAUUGUUGCAAAGGAGCUUCCAGUCUAGUUCCGAACCGUGCCUUCCAGUAUUUAGCCAGUGAUGCCCUGCAUGUUGAGCACACAGCAAGCAGCCCUGACCCGUUGACUCCACUAGACCGCUGAAGGUGUGGUAUCUGGCUCCCAGAUGUUAGCAACAGAUCCUUUAAGCCCAAUAAGUUGUGACAAGGGGCUUCCAUUGAUUGAACUUGUUUGUCCAGCACAUCCCAAAGAUGCUCGACUGGAUUGAGAUCUGGGGGAUUUGGAGGCCAACUCAACACCUCAAACUCCUCAAACCAUUCCUGAGAUAUUUUUUACUUUGUGGGAAGGCCUUCUUCCCAUAGUGCAUCCUGGUGCCAGGUGUUCCCCAGGUAAGCAGCAAGCACAAACCCAGCCAUCUACAUGAUGUAAUAGAAAAUAUGAUUCAUAAGACCAGACCACUUUCUUCCAUUUCUCUGUGGUCCAGUUCUGUGUCCAUUGUACAGUGACGUACAGGGGUCAGCAUGGGUACCCUGAUUGGUCUGCAGCUAUGCAGCCCCUUUCGCAGCAAACUGUGAUGCACUGAGUACUCUGACACUAAAGUGAGCUACAGUAGCUCAUCUAUUGAAUACAUGGGCCAACCUUUUUGCUGUGAGGUGACAGUGCUAACCACCGCACCACCAUACACCUCUUAUAUUGUUUUCCAUUAAAUUUUAAAUGACAUAGGAGAAGCCGCUAUUAUGACCUUCUGGGAAUUCAUUUCUAUUUCCACUGUACUGCUAUAUGGCAACUGCUGUAACGUGAAAAGAAGCUGUAUCACAGUUUAUAAUGGUUUUACCAUUACCCUCAAAGGUAGUUUGAAGAUUAAUCAUUAUCCCUAUAACAGUUAAAGCAGAAUCCAGGAAUCUGCUGCAUCAGCUGCACGACUCUGCUGAUAAAUCAGGUAGCAGACCUGAAUCAACUGCUGAGCCGCUGUUGCAUCAGUUCUUACAUGUCUGAGUAAAUAUUGUCGCUGGAGUGUGCAUUGCUGUAGCUUUCAUCAGCACUGUCAUGAAAAUCUACAGAAUGAUGCUGCCUGUUUAUCUGACUUUCUCUUCACUUAACCAUAAAAAGCCUUAAAGCCCUUGUGCAUACAAUUUAUACUGAGCCAUAAUGAAACCAUUUACGCCUGUUUGCAUUAAACAAGUCCUCCUCUAAAUCCUGAGGGGUGACUAUAACAUCCUGGUGCGAAAGGUGAGGCAGUGGUUAAACAUCAAUCCACGCCAAGUCCUGUAAUCCGCUCACGUGGUGUGCGUGACGUUUGGUGAUGUAAAGAUACGCUAUUGGAUCAAAACAGAGGAGCCUUCCUCUCAACAAGAGCGAGCCCUCGGUGAUAAAUAUGGUGCAUGUGAUGGAAAAUACAUAGCACCCUUUCCUCCUACAGCAUUAUUUAACAUCGGUGCUCUGUUUCUUGAAAUUUGUCCUGCGAGACUGAAUUGAGGACGGGACAUACAGGACGUGCUUUUAACUGAUUUCCUGAAAUGCAGUUAUGGUCGAAAUCACCUGCCAAUAGAAAAAUCUAAAUACUACUAAAAAAGAAAAGUGCCAGUCCUCGUGACGUGAGCCAGUCACCUCGGGUCGAUGCCAGUACGAGCAAAGUAACAAUAGCUGUGAUUUUCUUGCAGAAGGGACACAAUGUCUUAUAUGCAAAGGGGGGAGGGAAAAAUCGUUGCCCCUGACAGAAAUAACCCAAAUGAUGUCAUUCAUCCUAAUCGUGAGCGCAUCUUGCAAAAUAUAGGCCAACUGCACAGAAACAAGUGUAUUUUAAUUUGUUUAACUCUAAUCAAUCCUUCUCUUAUGCUAACUGGGAGGAAACAUUUCUCCUUGGAAGCGAAAUCUGUCCACCGAGCAGGGAUGAACUGUCAGGGAAGUGGCCACAAUCUCCGGAGGUAGAUAUUAUGUAACAUCCACACACGGAUCGUGAUGCUCUCCGCUUCUCUUCCUGCUUUGAGGCAGAGCCCGAGACGAUAAAUUGUAAUUCUCAUAAACUCAAUCAAAGAGUGCGAAUAGAAAAUCCAGCAGAUGACUUUACCUUUC